UACGGAGGGGGCGAGCGUUGUCCGAAGUUACUGGGCGUAAAGCGCGCGUAGGCGGGUUGGUAAGUCCGCUGUGAAAGCCCGGAGCUUAACUCCGGAGGGUCGGUGGAUACUGCCAGUCUUGAAGGUGCUAGGGGGAGAUGGAAUUACCGGUGUAGCGGUGAAGUGCGUAGAUAUCGGUAGGAACACCAGUGGCGAAGGCGGUCUCCUGGGGCAUUCUUGACGCUGAGGCGCGAAAGCUGGGGGAGCAAACGGG
rnacentral:rRNA from 1 species